UUUACAGCCCCCAAAAUACUCCAUUAAAAGAGGUUAAUUCACUGUGUGUAAAAGUGCUAGAAAGUUUGUUUUUAGAAAACCAAUUGAGCUUUAACAAUGGGAAGUUUCUGGCUUUGGCAGCUGUAGCUGCAGGGAGGGAGGUCAGGCACAGGGCCUGUCCAGAUCCAGCACAAGAAGGGACAGCAUGAACAGCAGCCUCAGGGAGGGAGACCAUGGCUCUUCCACCCAGUCCCAGGGCUAAUCCCCAAACCCUUCACCUUCCAAGGGCAUGUCCACUGGCUCAUGGGGCAGAUGGCAGAGCUUGUGCCUGGGAGAGGGUUCUCAAAAUGACUUGUGGUUGCAAAAGUCGCUCAGUAGCUUUUCCUCCAGCAGCAGUUUUGGAGCUCAGCUGCUCCAGGGGUGAGUCUUCGUGGUUCCACAGGUUCCUUUUUGUGCCUCCUGGAGCACUUCAGCAGACAGCUCUUGUGUUCUUCAUCAGUAUCCUCAUUUAAGAAAAACACUGGUACACAUGUUACAAAACAACCUUUCUAAAAAUUGUUCCUAGGUAUGAGUGGGAAAAUCCCAUGAAGCAUCAAGGCUGAGGCACUCAGCAGGGUGAGGAGAUCUCACAAACUCCAGAGAGGCUUCUAGCAGAAGUUAUGGGAUGUGCUGGAGUUUGCAGGCUCCUGCACCCUUCUGCUGACCCUGAAGUGGCUGCUGCUGAAGACCAUGAGCAAAGCUUGUGUUACCUUCAAGUGCAAGACACUGACUACAGAGGGAAAAGGGCUGCAGGCAGGUCUGUGGUCUGUUCACCUGGAUGACAGAGUCUGAAGCGUUUAGUGGCGAGUGGUCUGUGGGAACAUGUGGAGCUGGUAGAUUGCAGAGUGCACUCUGGGAGAAGACUCCUUACCUGGAGCCACAGGAAUGGCUGAAACAUGUGGAAGGAUUCCUAAAGGAUUCCAGUUAUUCAGCAGAAUGAAGCAAGUCUGCCCCUGGGUGCAGGGAAUAGCCAGAGGCAGCAGAAAAUGCCUCCUCGGGGUUGUUCUGUCCCGACAGCAAAGGUGGUGCAGUGGCAGAGAAAAGAAACGGGGAUUUUUUUUCAGUGAACUGCAGGAAAUCUUCCCAGCAG